rnacentral:rRNA from 1 species
GGGGGGGGGGGGGGGGGGGGGUGGGGGAGGCGGGUCGGGCGGGGGGGCCCUGCGUGCGGGGGGCGCGAGUGGCGAACGGGUGCGUAACACGUGGGUGGUCGGCCCUGCACUUCGGGAUAAGCCUGGGAGACGGGGGCUAAUACCGGAUGGGCGCCAUUUUGCGUGUGAUGGUUGGAAAGUUUUGUCGGUGUAGGAUGAGCUCGCUGCCUAUCAGCUUGUUGGUGGGGUAAUGGCCUACCAAGGCGGCGACGGGUAGCCGGCCGGCGAGGGUGGACGGCCACAUUGGGACUGAGAGACGGCCCAGACGCCGACGGGAGGCAGCAGUGGGGAAUAUUGCACAAUGGGCGCAAGCCUGAUGCAGCGACGCCGCGUGGGGGAUGACGGACUUCGGGUUGGAAACUCCUUUCGCUAGGGACGAAGCUGUUUGUGACGGUACCUAGAGAAGAAGCACCGGCUAACUACGUG